AUUAGGCAGUAUGUGUGUAUGGAUGUAGGUAUUAGGCAGUGUGUAUUUAUGGAUGUAUGUAUUAGGCAGUGUGUGUGUAUGGAUGUAGGUAUUAGGCAGUGUGUGUGUAUGGAUGUAGGUAUUAGGCAGUGUGUGUGUAUGGAUGUAGGUAUUAGGCAGUGUGUGUGUAUGAAUGUAGGUAUUAGGCAGUGUGUGUGUAUGAAUGUAGGUAUUAGGCAGUGUGUGUGUGUAUGAAUGUAGGUAUUAGGCAUUAUGUGUGUAUGGAUGUAGGUAUUAGGCAGUAUGUGUGUAUGGAUGUAGGUAUUAGGCAGUAUGUGUGU